UACAUACUUACACCAAAUACUGUAGCAGACAUAUCAGGUAUAAAAGCAUAAUUUGUAACCCUAGCCUCAUUUCUGGCCUCUUGUUUCUCUCUUUUCAUACAGCUCCUAUGAAGUGAUUCGAAAGGCGAUUUUGAUGAAACCCUUGUUCGUGUUGUACUAACCACGAAUCGAACAUUUUCCUCUUGUUUUUCCUUUGGUGUGUCUGUUCUUUCAAGUUUUGUUAGGCGAUUGAAAUGCGAAGAGAGAGAAAUCCCAAUUCGUGGUUACUACACCAUGGAUUGAACGUUUACUCUGCAAAACCAUUCCUUUUCCCCUCGUUUGUGUAUGUUCUUUGACCAUCUGUUACACAAUUGAAAGGAGAAUGACAAAACCCUAGAGGUCUCUUCUGCUUCAUCUCGUUUUUCUCUAAUUUACAGCUUGUUUGAGGCAAUUGAAAAAGUGAAGGAACCCUAGUUCUCCGUUCGCGACUUCGGAUCCAAGUUUUGUGUUGCGAAAAGUUUGUAAGGAACAUGAUACAAGAUUGGAGAUUUGCACUUGUUUUGGGCGAAUUGCAGAAUGGAAGUUUUUUUAGAAGCAUUCUUGUUUACAUGCAAGUGUUAGCAUGUUUAAGUUUUGUCUAUGAAAUGUAAUUUUUCUAACUUGGAGAUUUGACAUGUUAAAUGAUGUAAAUGAAUUGUAAUAAGGCCAUAGGCUAUUUCACCA